rnacentral:rRNA from 1 species
GACAGAGGAUGCAAGCGUUAUCCGGAAUGAUUGGGCGUAAAGCGUCUGUAGGUGGCUUUUCAAGUCCGCCGUCAAAUCCCAGGGCUCAACCCUGGACAGGCGGUGGAAACUACCAAGCUGGAGUACGGUAGGGGCAGAGGGAAUUUCCGGUGGAGCGGUGAAAUGCAUUGAGAUCGGAAAGAACACCAAGGCGAAAGCAGCUCUAGCUGGGACCGGACACUGACACUGAGAGAC